rnacentral:rRNA from 1 species
AUGAAAACUCAGGUUGAGAUGCUGAAACCGGCGACUUUGGACACAGCUAUGGACUUAGCAAUCUCCUUUGAGCACCUCAAUACUGUCACCAGCACCGCGACCACUCCGGGCCGGCCCAGCCGUCCACUCCACCCCAUGGCUGCACCUACUCCGGCCUUUCCGGACUCCUCCAACCCCACGCCCGCGCUCGUCUUUAAAAGACUCACGCCCGCCGAGAUGGAUGAACGGCGCGCUAAGGGUCUCUGCUUCAAUUGUGAUGAGAAGUUCGCACGGGGCCAUCGCUGCAAACGACUGUUCUACAUUCAAUCCGCCGACGCCAAAGAGGAGCAAUUUAAGGAUUUCCAGGAAGCACAAAUCUCACUCUUGGCUGUUACCGGAAUUCCCACCAGCAACACAAUGCAGGUCACUCUUUGCAUCGGGGACCGUGACUUGGUCGCCUUGCUUGAUUCAGGCAGCACUCAUAACUUCAUCCAUGAAGAGCUGGCCACCGUCGUCGAGCUGCCUUUCUCCUCCAAUCGUCGUUUGGGAGUCACGGUCGCUAAUGGCGAUAAGGUGAACUGUCGGGGACUCCUUCAGCAGGCUGCGAUCACCAUUGAGAAGGAGCGUUUCGUUGUUGAUCUGCAUGCCAUUCCAUUGGGCGGGUUCGACAUCGUCCUCGGUACAUGA